UUGAACGCUGGCGGCAGGCCUAACACAUGCAAGUCGAGCGGUAGCACAGAGAGCUUGCUCUCGGGUGACGAGCGGCGGACGGGUGAGUAAUGUCUGGGAAACUGCCUGAUGGAGGGGGAUAACUACUGGAAACGGUAGCUAAUACCGCAUAACGUCGCAAGACCAAAGUGGGGGACCUUCGGGCCUCAUGCCAUCAGAUGUGCCCAGAUGGGAUUAGCUAGUAGGUGGGGUAACGGCUCACCUAGGCGACGAUCCCUAGCUGGUCUGAGAGGAUGACCAGCCACACUGGAACUGAGACACGGUCCAGACUCCUACGGGAGGCAGCAGUGGGGAAUAUUGCACAAUGGGCGCAAGCCUGAUGCAGCCAUGCCGCGUGUGUGAAGAAGGCCUUCGGGUUGUAAAGCACUUUCAGCGGGGAGGAAGGCGAUAAGGUUAAUAACCUUGUCGAUUGACGUUACCCGCAGAAGAAGCACCGGCUAACUCCGUGCCAGCAGCCGCGGUAAUACGGAGGGUGCAAGCGUUAAUCGGAAUUACUGGGCGUAAAGCGCACGCAGGCGGUCUGUCAAGUCGGAUGUGAAAUCCCCGGGCUCAACCUGGGAACUGCAUUCGAAACUGGCAGGCUAGAGUCUUGUAGAGGGGGGUAGAAUUCCAGGUGUAGCGGUGAAAUGCGUAGAGAUCUGGAGGAAUACCGGUGGCGAAGGCGGCCCCCUGGACAAAGACUGACGCUCAGGUGCGAAAGCGUGGGGAGCAAACAGGAUUAGAUACCCUGGUAGUCCACGCCGUAAACGAUGUCGAUUUGGAGGUUGUGCCCUUGAGGCGUGGCUUCCGGAGCUAACGCGUUAAAUCGACCGCCUGGGGAGUACGGCCGCAAGGUUAAAACUCAAAUGAAUUGACGGGGGCCCGCACAAGCGGUGGAGCAUGUGGUUUAAUUCGAUGCAACGCGAAGAACCUUACCUGGUCUUGACAUCCACAGAACUUUCCAGAGAUGGAUUGGUGCCUUCGGGAACUGUGAGACAGGUGCUGCAUGGCUGUCGUCAGCUCGUGUUGUGAAAUGUUGGGUUAAGUCCCGCAACGAGCGCAACCCUUAUCCUUUGUUGCCAGCGGUUAGGCCGGGAACUCAAAGGAGACUGCCAGUGAUAAACUGGAGGAAGGUGGGGAUGACGUCAAGUCGUCAUGGCCCUUACGACCAGGGCUACACACGUGCUACAAUGGCAUAUACAAAGAGAAGCGACCUCGCGAGAGCAAGCGGACCUCAUAAAGUAUGUCGUAGUCCGGAUUGGAGUCUGCAACUCGACUCCAUGAAGUCGGAAUCGCUAGUAAUCGUAGAUCAGAAUGCUACGGUGAAUACGUUCCCGGGCCUUGUACACACCGCCCGUCACACCAUGGGAGUGGGUUGCAAAAGAAGUAGGUAGCUUAACCUUCGGGAGGGCGCUUACCACUUUGUGAUUCAUGACUGGGGUG
rnacentral:rRNA from 1 species